UAUAUUCUUUAGCAUUUUUGCACAUACAUUUUAACAAAUAGGACUAAAUAUAUAUAUAUAUAUAUAUAUAUAUAAAAGUCCCUGAUUAGAACCAGAAGAAUACAUAAUUGCAUUUCUGAGAUAUUUCCUCAUCACAAAUGGAAUAAUAUAUUGUGGGAAAAGCUUGUAAGAAAUCCAGAAGAUAGUGUUGCUCUCCUCUCCAAGAAUGUAUUUAUUGCAAUAUCCCCAGAUGACAAGUAAUCACAAGAUUUCUUUCUAAAGAGAAAACUACUGUUUUGGUGUUACCUUCCUUUAUAGCUGAUAAGAUCUGCAUACAGUUUGCCUACUUAUAAACUGGAAUGAUGUUGAUGUACUGUUUCUGUCUUGCAAUAGAAGGCACAAACAUUUCUGCUUUCAAAUAUUUUUGGCUAAUGCUUCCUACACAGGAAGUGUUUUCCACUUCAUCUACACUGAGGUAAGACAGGAAUCUGUCUCAGGUUGUGUCGCUGUAUGCUUCUGAAAAAUAAUUCUACAGUCGGUAUACCAGCAAGAUGGUCUCCAUCAUUCCAAUUCCCCACCUGGCUGCUGGACCAACUUGCUUUGUGUGGCUUUGUCUAGAAACAUCAACAGGUUUCACAGAGCUCUGGCAGUUUGUUUUCUUUUAAUCAACCCAGAUUUGGUACUGCCGUUAGGAUUUCACAUGAGACUGAGUACUGGCUUCUGUCGUUUCUCAUAAUGCCGUGGACUAUUCCAGAAAGCAUCAAAAUGUCUUUUCUGGUACCUGUUUUCAUUAGUCCAGCUUACUUGCAGGUGCUAAAAAUUAUGCAGUCACUCAGUUCUAAAGUUUCCCUGAACUGGUACAAUCAAUAUUAAUUUGUUUAAUUAUCUCAUUGAAUAAAAUGAAGCUAUUAGUUUUUAAUGUCCUUUUAAAAAUAUAAAUAUUGUUUAGAGGUUGAGUUAUACAUCUAAUGGACAUUUAUAAAGGCAUAAGCUCAAAGAGACCUUGCUAUCCAACAGAAGUCUACUUAAAAGAGAUAUAAUUGCAUCUACCACAAUCCUACAUUGUUUUACACCAAAAUCUUCUGGGCUAAUAAUGCAUUGAAUCGCCAUAAUAGUGAAAAAUAAGCAUGCAAACAUAGGCAGUAACAGAAAAUGUCAAUGAAAGUGGGAUCUUGCAAUGGAAAUGGAGAAUAUGUUGUAUUAAGCCACACAUAUGGCAUGUUUAAAUCCAGAUGCAGCACAAACGCUUCAUAAGCCCUUGCCCCAUGCAAAUUAAAAAAAAUAAAUAGCAGUAUAAAUGAAGAUAAUUACAUUACUUUCAGCAUUCCUCUUUCUGACGCUGUAUAAAAUACUCAACCUACACUCAAAUACUGAAUAAAUCAAAUUGAAUCUAAUGGGUCUAUUAAAAGUGUACUGUUAAUUCAUCAUUAUAUAAUUUAGAACAGCAGUAUCACUUCGACAGAAAAGAUAAAUACAACGUGUCCUAACAAAUAGCAAUAAGUGAUUAUAACAGGUACUUAGAAAAGGAAUAUUUAUUUAGAUCAAUAUCCAAUUAAGGGUCUGGGUAUUCAGAGCCUACACUUUGGCUUCCCUUUAAAUUAGGAAAGUAAAAGCUAUUAGCAAACCUUAUUAGUUUCAUGCUGGUCUCUUGAGAUUUUUUUUCCACCUGAAUACUUUGUGUCCCUUAAAAGAUAAUUCUAAACACAGUGUGAUAUUGAUUGUUUUAAGGCACUAAUGUGAACGGAUCAAACACAGUGAAAGAAAAUUUUACUGUAUGCAUAGUCAAAUUCAGGGUUAAGAUCUGUUAACAUCAGAGAUUAAUAAUUUCCUCUUAAAUAUAAAAUUAACAUCUAAUCAUUAACUCAGGAAGAGAAUGGAGCCCUACUUAUCUUUGUAAUCACACGGACUCUGGGUAACAAUGCAGUGAACUGUCUGCAGAAACAUCAGAAAAAAUACAAACUUCAAAGACUGAAGUUGGCAGGCAUAUUUUUCCCCAUUCUUUUCCUUCUAAGUGAGUGGCUAAUAGCAAUGCAAGACCAUGCAAGUUGAUUUACUUUAUGUACUGAAUCACACAAGAUGAGAAGUGAGACUAAGGUUUGUUUACUGAAACAGUGUGUCUGUAUAAAAGAUGGACAAAGCUGGCUGAUUCCCCCACCCUGUGAGCUGAAAGCCUUCUGUGUCUCUCCCGCCUUCCGUCAGCUAAUGAACGUCAAUUGACAUAAGUGGCACAGUGACAUCCACUAAUUAGACUAUCACUUAACUCGGGAAGUGUGACAGCAUGAACAUGUUUUGGAGAACAAUCAGAAUACUGUAAAAGCAAUAUUAAAAUUCCUGGCUUUCUACAAAAUAUAUAUGUACAUUGCAUAUGUAUAUACACACAUACACAUAAGACAAAAUCAUUUCUAGUUUAAGACAGAAUUACUUUCAUUUCACAAUGAAAUUUUCAGAACUCAUCUUCAUGUUUCUCUAGUAACAGUGCUUCUUGAUGAAUACCAUGAGUGGCACAACAUUUAAGUUUCACAACUCUUGAUUUUCAUCCCCUUGAUAUCAGACAGUAUUCACUAUGGCAAUAACAUUACACAGUCACGUAAUCUCUGUAGAAGUAAAAAAUAAAAUAAAAUGAAAAUAAGUAUUUAGUAAAAAGAACUAAGUAAGAUAAAGAAUUAUUAAGAAGUUAGAGAAAUAAUAGCCCUAGACAAACUUAAGAGGAACAUGGCCAUCAUUUCCUUAAAUAGCCUCAAUAUUGUUUGUCUGCUGGUGUAUCUGCUUUUGAGAAAUUAGCAUUUGAAAUUUUCUUAUCAAGGUUUCUUUAGGGAGGUGUAAUUCAAGGCCUAUGAAAGGAACAGGAAAGUAAUCACUCACUCUUGAAAAGCGUGGGCUCACCUCUAAUCCCAUUCUUCUCCUCACUUCUGUAAAGCGUUAGUUCAAAGACAACUAUAUAGGUUUGAUUGUAUAUGUAUGUGUGUGUGUGUGUAUUUUGUAUACAGGAUAUAUACACACACACACACACACACACACACAUAUAUAUAUAUAUGUAUAUAUACAUACCACCUUCUCAGAGCCGUUAUAAAUUAUAUUACAUUACAUCAGUCUUCUUUGAAGUUUCCAUCACAUAUGAAAUAGAUGCCUUCCGGUUACAGAAUAUCCAGGCUUAGACAAGUGACGUGCUUUGUGUUAUUCAUUUAUUUGUCCUACACUCACAAUAUUUUUACGUUAUUCUUCACUGGCAGUACCACAGGACUGUCAGCAGAAACCACCACGGUAGUGCAGUUUUCUGGUGUUUGUGCUAUAAUCAAAUUAACAGAGAUUCUAGCACCUAUUGAAGCACUCAGAAUAUCCGCAAUCAGUUCUCCAAAUGAUUUAAACAAGGAGAUAGUCUUAUUUGCACAUCAGCAAUUUCCACUCCAACAGAAACAAGACUGAAGCAAAAGAAAGAAUUCUUUCCAACAAUUGCCACUGUUCAUACUCGAAGGAUGUUUAUUACAAGGAAACGUGAAGUGUGUUAGUGAAAGGAUAUAGCUAAUGUGACAUUAAAGUAAAACCAGCAUGAUGACCUACUUUUGUUUCUGCUGAAUUAAGUUACAUUUUGUCUUGCCUUGAGAGACUGAAUAUCAUUAGUUAGAGUACCAGGCAUAUUACGCGCUUACCUUCAGUGACAGAUCAAAGCAGCGAGGUAAUCCAGGGACAACAGUGUUGAGCUGUAUGACAGUUGUGCACAGUGGAGUCCUGGGAGGAGGUCACUGCCUAUACAGAAUAAGCAAACAGUGUAAGUUGCUGGGAUAAGUAUCCUUGGGAAAUAUCCUGGGAUAUUUCAGUGUAAGUGCAAUCCAAGAUGCUGAAAUCAAUACAAAUGUGAAACCCAUUUCUAAUUUGCUGUGUUAUGAGAAACGGAUGAGUAAAAACAUAGCGUCUUUUUGAAAUGGACUAUUUUACCUACUUACUUGAAUAUAUAUGUGCAUCAUCAAUACAUUGACAUCAUAAUUCAUCAAAAGGUAUCUAUGGAUACUCCAAACAUUCCUACUUCAAAAGAUUUGUAGGAUCAGAAAACUCCAACAACCUUGAUUCUGAACCUUGGAUGGCCUUGAGCCAUUCACAGCUAUGAACUUAAUCUUUGCUGAAACAAAUGUUUGUAAAGUGAAGUGGAUGUGGAUAAGAUUAUGAAAGAGCAAACCUUAUUUUGUGAUGAGCCCAGAGUUCCUGACACUGCACAGCAUGGACACCGUGGUAUUUGUUAUUCACUAACCUUUCGUGCACUUUCUAGUGUAAAGGACAUAAAAUAUCAACCAAUGUAACUUCCUUUUUUUUGUAUCUCGUAUGACUGCAUCUGUCAAAAAAGCUAACUUACUGAUUAAUGAACUCCAAAGAUAAUCUGUGAAAUUGUGUUCAACUAUUGAUCAUUUUCUGACAUUUCCUGCUGCAAAUAAAGGUGUUUGCUCUUUUUUCCACACACAUUUUUCCUCCUCUAUAUAUAAGUACAGAGAAUCUUUCAGUACGUUUACAACAAAUGAAGUCAAAGACUUCACUUCUGGUAGAAAUGACAGAAAGACUCAAAUGUGAUGCCCACAUUACAGUGAAUAUACUUUCAGAAAACUGAGGUCAUUUUUCAUUGUUUGCACAAGUUGGGAUUAAGUCUCUAAAACCAACACACUAUUUCUUCAAACAAAUCACUGUAUACACCUGAUUAAAUCAGAGUACUUUACAUUAGAAGGCAAAUGUGUUUUAGUAAAACCCCA
rnacentral:lncRNA from 1 species